GUGACUGCGUACCUUUUGUAUAAUGGGUCAGCGACUUAUAUUCUGUAGCAAGGUUAACCGAAUAGGGGAGCCGAAGGGAAACCGAGUCUUAACUGGGCGUUAAGUUGCAGGGUAUAGACCCGAAACCCGGUGAUCUAGCCAUGGGCAGGUUGAAGGUUGGGUAACACUAACUGGAGGACCGAACCGACUAAUGUUGAAAAAUUAGCGGAUGACUUGUGGCUGGGGGUGAAAGGCCAAUCAAACCGGGAGAUAGCUGGUUCUCCCCGAAAGCUAUUUAGGUAGCGCCUCGUGAAUUCAUCUCCGGGGGUAGAGCACUGUUUCGGCAAGGGGGUCAUCCCGACUUACCAACCCGAUGCAAACUGCGAAUACCGGAGAAUGUUAUCACGGGAGACACACGGCGGGUGCUAACGUCCGUCGUGAAGAGGGAAACAACCCAGACCGCCAGCUAAGGUCCCAAAGUCAUGGUUAAGUGGGAAACGAUGUGGGAAGGCCCAGACAGCCAGGAUGUUGGCUUAGAAGCAGCCAUCAUUUAAAGAAAGCGUAAUAGCUCACUGGUCGAGUCGGCCUGCGCGGAAGAUGUAACGGGGCUAAACCAUGCACCGAAGCUGCGGCAGCGACACUAUGUGUUGUUGGGUAGGGGAGCGUUCUGUAAGCCUGUGAAGGUGUACUGUGAGGUAUGCUGGAGGUAUCAGAAGUGCGAAUGCUGACAUAAGUAACGAUAAAGCGGGUGAAAAGCCCGCUCGCCGGAAGACCAAGGGUUCCUGUCCAACGUUAAUCGGGGCAGGGUGAGUCGACCCCUAAGGCGAGGCCGAAAGGCGUAGUCGAUGGGAAACAGGUUAAUAUUCCUGUACUUGGUGUUACUGCGAAGGGGGGACGGAGAAGGCUAUGUUGGCCGGGCGACGGUUGUCCCGGUUUAAGCGUGUAGGCUGAUUUUCCAGGCAAAUCCGGAAAAUCAAGGCUGAGGCGUGAUGACGAGGCACUACGGUGCUGAAGCAACAAAUGCCCUGCUUCCAGGAAAAGCCUCUAAGCAUCAGGUAACAUCAAAUCGUACCCCAAACCGACACAGGUGGUCAGGUAGAGAAUACCAAGGCGCUUGAGAGAACUCGGGUGAAGGAACUAGGCAAAAUGGUGCCGUAACUUCGGGAGAAGGCACGCUGAUAUGUAGGUGAAGUCCCUCGCGGAUGGAGCUGAAAUCAGUCGAAGAUACCAGCUGGCUGCAACUGUUUAUUAAAAACACAGCACUGUGCAAACACGAAAGUGGACGUAUACGGUGUGACGCCUGCCCGGUGCCGGAAGGUUAAUUGAUGGGGUUAGCGGUAACGCGAAGCUCUUGAUCGAAGCCCCGGUAAACGGCGGCCGUAACUAUAACGGUCCUAAGGUAGCGAAAUUCCUUGUCGGGUAAGUUCCGACCUGCACGAAUGGCGUAAUGAUGGCCAGGCUGUCUCCACCCGAGACUCAGUGAAAUUGAACUCGCUGUGAAGAUGCAGUGUACCCGCGGCAAGACGGAAAGACCCCGUGAACCUUUACUAUAGCUUGACACUGAACAUUGAGCCUUGAUGUGUAGGAUAGGUGGGAGGCUUUGAAGUGUGGACGCCAGUCUGCAUGGAGCCGACCUUGAAAUACCACCCUUUAAUGUUUGAUGUUCUAACGUUGGCCCCUGAUCGGGGUUGCGGACAGUGUCUGGUGGGUAGUUUGACUGGGGCGGUCUCCUCCUAAAGAGUAACGGAGGAGCACGAAGGUUGGCUAAUCCUGGUCGGACAUCAGGAGGUUAGUGCAAUGGCAUAAGCCAGCUUGACUGCGAGCGUGACGGCGCGAGCAGGUGCGAAAGCAGGUCAUAGUGAUCCGGUGGUUCUGAAUGGAAGGGCCAUCGCUCAACGGAUAAAAGGUACUCCGGGGAUAACAGGCUGAUACCGCCCAAGAGUUCAUAUCGACGGCGGUGUUUGGCACCUCGAUGUCGGCUCAUCACAUCCUGGGGCUGAAGUAGGUCCCAAGGGUAUGGCUGUUCGCCAUUUAAAGUGGUACGCGAGCUGGGUUUAGAACGUCGUGAGACAGUUCGGUCCCUAUCUGCCGUGGGCGCUGGAGAACUGAGGGGGGCUGCUCCUAGUACGAGAGGACCGGAGUGGACGCAUCACUGGUGUUCGGGUUGUCAUGCCAAUGGCACUGCCCGGUAGCUAAAUGCGGAAGAGAUAAGUGCUGAAAGCAUCUAAGCACGAAACUUGCCCCGAGAUGAGUUCUCCCUGACUCCUUGAGAGUCCUGAAGGAACGUUGAAGACGACGACGUUGAUAGGCCGGGUGUGUAAGCGCAGCGAUGCGUUGAGCUAACCGGUACUAAUGAACCGUGAGGCUUAACCUU
rnacentral:rRNA from 1 species